rnacentral:misc_RNA from 1 species
AACGCACAUUGCGCCCUUUGGUAUUCCUUAGGGCAUGCCUGUUCGAGCGUCAUUUAAACCUUCAAGCCCUGCUUGGUGUUGGGUGCCUGUCCCGCCCUCCGCGCGUGGACUCACCUCAAAUCCAUUGGCGGCCCCCGCACGGCCACGAGCGCAGCAGAAACGCAAACUCGUGUGCCGGACCGGGCGGCUCCCAGAAGCUACACUCACCAUUUUGACCUCGGAUCAGGUAGGGAUACCCGCUGAACUUAA